UUUGUUGUCUCUUUACCCAAGUAUGGCUUUAAUAUUUUAUUAAAAAUUCUUGAAUUUAUAAAUAUUAAAACACUGCAAUUUAUUGGCACAAGAAUGACAAUGCACUAGCAAUAAAAUCAAAAUAGAAACUAAACUAUUUAGAAGCAGUAGCAACUCCAUACUUCAAAGAUAAUUUAAACAGGCAAUUUUAGAGUGCUUCAUAUAUAUAAAAAGCAGUUCUCAGCCUGCAGUGAUGCUGCCACAUGGGCAGAUGAUGCUGCUAAGCAUCUCAGGUGCAGCAGGAAACCCUUUAACCAAUGGCUGCUGCAAUUUCUUAAUUAGCUUGAAUUAAUGAGUUCACUCAGAAUUUAUUUUGUUUACUGCUUACUGUAGUUACUCUUACACUACUUACUAACUGGUACAGAAGUGUUUUAACAACUGGUUGAGGCAGUACCGGUACCGUUUCCUUCUAUUAACACAGAAGCCACUUGGCUCCUGUGGGCAGGGACCACAUCAUCUGCUUUCCAGGGUUUGUUCCAUUCUAAUUCCCACUUUCCUGCAUUUCCAACUUUUCGUCCUCACUUGAUUCUUAACAGCAUGUUAUAACACUCAAAACUUAAAAAAAAAAAAAAAAAAAAAGUCCUCAAUUCUAUAUAUCUGCUCUCUCCACUGUCUUUCAUUGCAAAUACAGCCAAAUUUAUUGAAAAUAAUAUCCUUGGGGCAUCUGGGUGGCUCAGUGGUUGAGCAUCUGCCUUUGGCUCAGGUUGUGAUCCCGGGGUCCUGGAAUUGAGUCCUCGCAUCAUGUUCCCCACAGGGAGCCUGCCUCUCCCUCUGACUAGGUCUCUGCUUCUGUGUGUCUUUCAUGAAUAAAUAAAAUCUUUUUUUUUUUUUUUUAAGAAAAUCAUAUCCUUUCCCCCACUGCCUCCACUUCCUUCCUCCAAGUCAUUCCUUCAUUCUGAUCUCACCUGUCCAAUGGAACUUCUCCCAACAGUAUCACCAAGGUUCCUUGUGGCCAAAUCUAGUGACCACUCCUCAUUCUUGGGGUCCUCACCCCUCAGGGGCAUCCCACAUUUGGCCCUUCCUUCUUACCUGAGCUUUCAUUGCACACUUUCCAGGUUUCAUCCUGUCUGCUGGCUUUUCUUCCCCUGCUCUCCCUUUGAUUUCUGUUCUCCACUUUCUUCCUUAGCCUUCUUCUUUUUUAAGAUUAAAAAAUUAAAUUUAUUUGAGAGUCAGCAAGAGAGAACAUAAGCAGGGAAGGGCAGAUGGAGAGGGAGAAGCAGACUCCCCAGUGAGCAGAGGCAUUCGCUUAACUGACUGAACAGUGCCCUUUUCUCUUCUCAUGCUACACAUUUUCUCAGGGCUAUCUCCAUUACUCUCCUUCCCUGAUGUCGAUGCCACCCAAGUCUGUCUGCAGUCAGGACCCCCUUUCCUCCAAGCUCCACUCAAAUAAACCCUGUCACAGAAAAUGGCACCAUCACUCACCCAGUUGCCAAGUCAGAAACAGGGUAUGCAAUCUUGACUUGUCCUUCUCCCUCCUCCACACAGCAAAACAAUUCCCCAGACAUUAACCUUAUCUCCUAAGCACCCCAUAAAACUGUUUCUCUUCUUUCCAUCAGCCACUACUUAAUUCUAGUUUCCAUUCUCUUCCCCUGACAUCACUUCAAAAGCCUUGGAUCUCUCUCCCCUUUCCAAACCAGUUUCCAUACUGCAGUGAUCUAAGGCACAAAUCUCUCCUUGUUCUUAGGCCUCAAAUUCUUCACCAUUCCUCUGGAUAAAGCCUACAUCUUUAGCACAGCUCACAAAUUCCAGCAAGAGCUGGCCCAAGCCUCCCUCUCCUGCUUCACUUUUCUUUACCUGUCCCUUGCACUGUAAGCCC
rnacentral:lncRNA from 1 species